rnacentral:tRNA from 1 species
GCCUGGGUAGCUCAGUCGGUUGAGUGUCUGACUUUGGCUCAGGUAAUGACCUCACUGCUUGUGAGUUCGAGCCCUCCAUCAGGCU